rnacentral:rRNA from 1 species
UACAGAGGUCCCAAGCGUUGUUCGGAUUCAUUGGGCGUAAAGGGUGCGUAGGCGGCGCGGUAAGUCGGGUGCGAAAUCUCGGGGCUUAACUCCGAAACUGCAUUCGAUACUGCCGUGCUUGAGGACUGGAGAGGAGACUGGAAUUUACGGUGUAGCGGUGAAAUGCGUGGAUAUCGUAAGGAAGACCAGUGGCGAAGGCGGGUCUCUGGACAGUUCCUGACGCUGAGGCACGAAGGUCAGGGGAGCAAACGGG